rnacentral:rRNA from 1 species
CAGCAGCCGCGGUAAUACGGAGGGUGCAAGCGUUAAUCGGAAUUACUGGGCGUAAAGCGCACGCAGGCGGUCUGUCAAGUCGGAUGUGAAAUCCCCGGGCUCAACCUGGGAACUGCAUUCGAAACUGGCAGGCUAGAGUCUUGUAGAGGGGGGUAGAAUUCCAGGUGUAGCGGUGAAAUGCGUAGAGAUCUGGAGGAAUACCGGUGGCGAAGGCGGCCCCCUGGACAAAGACUGACGCUCAGGUGCGAAAGCGUGGGGAGCAAACAGGAUUAGAUACCCCUGUAGUCCCUGUCUCUUAUAC